GCGGCGGGACUGUGAGGGAGCGCCUCCCCUCAGCGCAGCCACCGGCUGGGCUGGUGUAGCCCAGCUAGCAGCCGCACAGUGCUCGCUGUUUGUGUCGCUCACUGCCUCGUUUCCACGGCUCUGUAACACCCAAGCACUUCGGUUGGAGACACAACGUGAUGCCACCACGUCCCAUCCUAUCGCCGUUACCGGGAGCAGAGCUGACCCACCUCAGCGCAGCCUCCCUUUAGGAGCUGCAGAGCAGCGAGGUCUCCCCUCAGCUCCUCCGCGCUGCCCCGUGCCGUUCCCUCAGCCGCCCCCCAUCGCACAGCUCCGUGCCCAGGAUGAUAACCCCACAUCCUCUAUCUGCUGACCAAAGGCUGUUGCCCCUACCUGCACUUCCCUCACAAAGCUGCGGCCCAGCCUCCCCUAGCCAAGGCGAUGCUGCCUUGCUUAUGAAAAACCCAUUAGCAGAGGUGCCUCCUCAGCAUGGGAACCAGGACGGUGUUGUGCUGUGUGAACACGAUGCUGUGGUUUCCAGUGCAGGUACAGAGCACUCUCAGAAGCUGGGGGAGCCACUUCCCCUCCUUCAGCUUUAGAUAACCCAGAGCAGUUAGGAACCACGGAAGAUUACCUGCUCAUACCAAACUGCGGGAGGCUGAGACUGCAUCUGUGUCAAUUGUUGAUUUUUCUAGGGGGGAAGAAUCAACCCCAAACGAUGGUGAGCAUUCUGAAUGGCUCAGCAUUUGAUAUCUGUUAUCUCCGUCUACAAAAUGAAUCCCUUUUUGGAAAUGUUUGCUUCAUCAGUGGAGCCUGAAGGUGUCCUGCAGGUCCAUUUUCACCUGGGGAGGCUCAGUACGAAGGCUACCCCGCUGCUGGUGUGGACAUCUGCAUCCCAGGAGGAGCCCAACCCCCGAACCAAGAGAAGGGCGAUGAUGCACCGGGAAGGCUCCAGAAGGGGCGAACGGGCAGAUCUCACGCUUGGAGGACAGCCGGAUCUCUCCGGGAGCGCUCCCCAUUCCUUCAGUGCAGCUGGCCCCCCAGCCCGGCUCACAUUUGGCGACAAGCCGCAGGGCCGGCUGCCGGAGGGUCGGCGCCAGCGUGGAACAGGAUCUGGGUAACCACAUCCGCACUCGGCGACAGGUCGGGGGCCGCGCUGCGUGCCAGAUGGCCCGGCCCAGCCCGGCUCUGAUGGCAGGGGGACCCUAGGCGCUGCCGGGAAGUGACAAAGGGACCUUCGCCCUCGCUGCUUCCGACAGCGCGAGGGAGGCAGACGGAGAGGUGACAUCUCCGACGGAGGCAGCCACGGGGCCGUGGGCAGCCCGUGCCACGAGGCAGCAGCGCCAGCCCCCAAGCGAACUUCCCGGAGCUGAUUGAAACGCCUAUAAAAAAGCAGCCGUGUGCGCAGCCUCUGCGAUUAUUAUAUUGUACCGCAAGCUGCUUCCUGUCCCGAGCCUCUUUUAUCUCGCAUUGUUUUCCUUUCCAGGUGGGGCUGCGGGCUCCCCGCCGCUCGGCCCCCCGGGCUUCCUGCUCGCUCAGAGCCACCUUUGUCUGCCGGCCCUCCCCCUGCCCCCGCUAUUUCGGGAAACGGCAGCUGAGCCGGAGGGUUGCGAAUUGUUUGUCAGCUCGCUGCCAGCCUGCCGACAUCGCACGCGGAGAGAGGAGCGCCUGGUCGCACCCUGCCCGCCCGUCUGCUGCCGGGGACGGGGCAGUGCCCCUCGGCUGGGCGCACACACGGGGACGCGGCAGCUCCCCGCGUGGGAACGGGCGAAGCAGCGGCCCAACAGGCAGACAGGCGCAGACAGACAGACAACAAAGCCACCCCAGGCGAGCGCUGACCUCAGAAGCUGCCAUGUGACGCUGCCUCAAACUUACUAAGGCAUGACAUCAGCCUGGGAGGGAAAAGCAGGGCUGCCACCAAAAUACCGCCCGGCUUAAAAGGGCUGAGCUGGGCCGGCCUUUCUGCUGCGUGCUCCCCUCUGGGCAAGCAGCCACCCGCAGCCCUGCUUCUGUGUUCAGAGCUCUGGGGGUCACGCAUGUUUGUGGGAGGAAACAGCGUCCGGGUGUAUUCAGCUGUAGCUAUUCCGCCUGGCACGCGUGCUUGCCCUCUGCACAGCUGUCCCCUCUGUGGGUACUGCUGAGGACGGAGGACCACGUUUUGGUGCUGGCUGUGUGGCUGUCCCUGCAUCCCACGGCCCUUGGGGAGCCGGCAGGCAGGUUGUGUUGGCUGGUGGGAAAGUCUCGUGUCAUUGGGAUGAGGCAGAGCGGCAGAACAGGUUGGUCAGCCUGCGUGCACUCAUCUUUACUCAGCAGAGCGCCCGUGCUGUGCCGCGCCCGCCCAUGCUGAGCUUUCCCCGGGCUCCGCACCGCUGCUCUGUAUCGACUCAGGCAGAUGGCAUCAGAUGAGAUGUGCAAGGCAUGAUUUAUUCUCACUGGGGUCAUCUGCUGAACACAAAGGAGCCCUGUCCCUGCCAGCAAGGAGUCCCGCAGCACCCACAAAGAAUCCCCGUUGUUUUCACAUGCGGAUGGUCACACAACCGCGGGUGAGGAGCUGCCACUGCGGUCCGAAAGAGCUGCCCCGGCUGGUCGGGCUGAGCAGAGGGCUGGCCCUGAGCACGGAGCAGGUUGGGCAGGUUGGGAACGCUGAGGACAGCAGUGCUUGGUUCCCAUCAGAAGGGUGGGAGGGAAAGCCCUGCUCUGCCCCGGGGUGUUCUCCGCAGCCCAGAGGCUGGUGCACUGUGCACUGCGUUUGGAGAGCAUUCCUUGGGGGUUUGCAGCAGGAGGAAAAUGUGCUGGGCUUGGGGUUCCUGGGGAGGAAGGCUUCUGUUGUGCCACCUGCAUCUUGGGCUGACAUAGGGCACGAUGAAGUAGCAGAGAAACUCCUACAGAGUGUAAAAGUCCUCCUUUUUUUUUUUUUUUUUUUUCCCCACCCCAGCAAAGCAACGAUGUCCAUUUUUUCGCCCUGUAAUUGCUCCUUUUGCCUUCUGUGGUGCCCAGAUGUUCCCUUUUCCACCUCCAGAAGACUGCAUCAGCAGCAGGGGAAAUCACCAGACCUGUCCCAGGUCUGAAGCCUUCUGACAAGACCAGGGGUCCCUGGUGGGUCCUUUUGACAGCAGGCAGCAUGCUUGAGGCCUGAUGGAGACGGGCAGCCCCUGCACCUCACAUCCUGUUCCUCAGCACCAACUGUGGCUCUUGUUUUGGGUGAGAAGGCGAGGAGUGGGAAGGCAGUGUGCGUCACAUGGCAGACAGGAAGCCAGCAGACAGAAAGCGAUACUUGGGGUUCCACUUCCUUCAUGCUGGUCUGUCCUUUCACUUCUGUCCUUGCCGUGUUGCCCCCAAUGGAGGUGGUUGCCGCUUCCUGGAGCUUGGAUGGGGGGAGAAAGAGGCAAGAAUCGUUCUUGCUUUUUUAUUUUUUUUUCCCUCCAGAAAAUCAAUCAAAUCCAAAUUCACGACCUGGAAAAAGUAAAUCCAACCCCAAUAAAAAUAAAAUAAAAAAAAAAACCAACAUCAAAAACAACUGCCCCUUGCGUGCUGUACGAUGGAAAGCGUGGAGCCGCGGGAGGAAUGCUUCGCAAAGUGCUGUUUUGACAAAAACUAGUAGCCGAAGAAGACACCACAUUAUCCCCGCUUGCCUUCCACUCUACGUGGGCCCCACCAGCCGCGCGCCGCCGUUGCCGCUUUAAGGGCUCUCUCCGCGGGGCGA